UACGUAGGGGGCAAGCGUUAUCCGGAAUAACUGGGUGUAAAGGGUGAGUAGGCGGUUUGUUAAGUCAUAUGUGAAAGCCCGAGGCUCAACCUCGGGACUGCAUAAGAAACUAAUGAACUAGAGUACAGGAGAGGUAAGCGGAAUUCCUAGUGCAGCGGUGAAAUGCGUAGAUAUUAGGAGGAACACCAGUGGCGAAGGCGGCUUACUGGACUGAAACUGACGCUGAGUCACGAAAGCGUGGGGAGCAAACAGG
rnacentral:rRNA from 1 species